rnacentral:rRNA from 1 species
AACGUAGGAGACGAACGUUAUCCGGAGUUACUGGGCGUAAAGCGUGCGUAGGCGGUUCGUUAAGUCUGUCGUGAAAGCCCUGGGCUCAACCUGGGAAUUGCGAUGGAUACUGGCGAGCUAGAGUACGGUAGAGGAUGGUGGAAUUCCCGGUGUAGCGGUGAAAUGCGUAGAGAUCGGGAGGAACACCCGUGGCGAAGGCGGCCAUCUGGACCAGUACUGACGCUGAGGCACGAAAGCGUGGGGAGCAAACAGG